rnacentral:rRNA from 1 species
UACGUAGGGGGCUAGCGUUGUCCGGAUUUAUUGGGCGUAAAGAGCGUGUAGGCGGCCAGGUAGGUCUGCUGUGAAAACUCGAGGCUCAACCUCGAGACGUCGGCGGAAACCAUCUGGCUAGAGUCCGGAAGAGGAGAGUGGAAUUCCUGGUGUAGCGGUGAAAUGCGCAGAUAUCAGGAAGAACACCCGUGGCGAAGGCGGCUCUCU